rnacentral:tRNA from 1 species
AUUUAAAUAAUUUAAUAAAAAUAUUGAUUUGUGGAAUCAAAAAUGUAUAAAUUACUUUAAAUA